rnacentral:rRNA from 1 species
GCGUAUAUUAAAGUUGUUGCAGUUAAAAAGCUCGUAGUUGGAUUUCUGGUGAGUUCGUUUGGCCGGCCGUAAAGGUCUGUGCCGAAAUGUUAUUCGCCAUCCUUGGUGUAAUCUUGUCCGCCAUUAAGUUGUGUGGGCUUGAGGAUGCCAUCGUUUACUGUGAAAAAAUUAGAGUGUUCAAAGCAGGCUUAUGCCGUUGAAUACAUUAGCAUGGAAUAAUAAGAUAGGAUCCUGGUACUAUUUUGUUGGUUUGCGUACCUAGGUAAUGAUUAAUAGGGACAGUUGGGGGUAUUUGUAUUCCGUUGUCAGAGGUGAAAUUCUUGGAUUGUGUUGCGACGAACUACUGCGAAAGCAUUUGCCAAGGAUGUUUUCAUUGAUCAAGAACGAAAGUAAGGGGAUCGAAGACGAUUAGAUACCAUCGUAGUCUUUACCAUAAACUAUGCCGACUAGAGAUGGGGCAUCGUUCAUUUACGACUUGCUCCGCACCUUAUGAGAUAUCAAAGUUUUUGGGUUCCGGGGGGAGUAUGGUCGCAAGACUGAAACUUAA